UUCAGCCGACAAUUGAAUUUCUGCCUUUCUCCACUGUGGCGUUGGUGGGAGUCUUCAGGUUCUAAUUCUACUGAAUUGUUGUGAUUCAAGGGAGGUUGAUUUCCUUUAUUUUUGCAACUAAGAGAUACAUUAGGUGGAUUAUUGGAGUAGAGAUUCUUGGGAGACAGAAGUUACAAAUUAAUUUUUGUGGAACUGAGGAUUUUAUUAUUAUUUUAUGGCAUUAAACUUUGUAUUGGAGAAUUAUUUUGAGGAUGUUUUGUAUUUGGUGAAUUAGAGCUCUGACUUUUGUAAUCAGUUUCAAGGUUGCUAGUUUCUUUUAUUUAAUAUUUUUA